rnacentral:rRNA from 1 species
UACGGGAGGGGCUAGCGUUGCUCGGAAUCACUGGGCGUAAAGGGUGCGUAGGCGGGCCUUUAAGUCAGGGGUGAAAUCCUGGAGCUCAACUCCAGAACUGCCUUUGAUACUGAGGAUCUUGAGUACGGGAGAGGUGAGUGGAACUGCGAGUGUAGAGGUGAAAUUCGUAGAUAUUAGGAAGAACACCAGUGGCGAAGGCGGCUCACUGGUCCGGUACUGACGCUGAGGUGCGAAAGCGUGGGGAGCAAACAGG